rnacentral:lncRNA from 1 species
AUGCUACUGAUGGAAGGGGAAAUGGGGAUUUUAAAGCAGAAACAUUGCCCAGGGACACAGAAGCCCUGGAAGCGGACUACUACUUCCAGAAUGGGUGAGUUCAUCGAAGAAUUUUCCACUAGCAAUCGACUUGUCAUUCGUAGAGGGAGAGAGCCGGAGACAGAGCAAAGGCUGGCCACACUGGCAGUGGUUGGCACUGCACAGAGUUGGAACCUGAUGAAACGGCCCCAUUUGAGUGCCUGCUGUAUCGUGUUGGCUCUGCUUCCUGCAGCUGUGCUCCGAAAUGAGCCUUUCAGUCAUUGCUCCCUAAUAGCCCCAUCUCCCCGAAUCCGGGAGGAUGCACAUUCCUCUCCUUGCUCACAUGCCCCACUUCAAGCCAUCUGCACACUCUACAGGGAACUUGCCACCUAACGUCCUGAUGUGCAACCCCAUCCAAAUCCUCUGCUGGAAUCUCACUGUUCACACCACUGAUGCCCCUGGCAGAAAGGCCAGUCUUCUUGUCUUUUUAUUCUAAAUGUUUAAUACAGAUUCCAU